rnacentral:lncRNA from 1 species
GCUGGGUCGGCCCAUCCAGCUAGUGGCCCACAACCCAGUAGGGCAAGAAGGUUCCAGAAGAGGUGGGAGGCCCAAGAGGACUGAAGGCCACCAGAAACAAGUCAGCGAGGGCCCCGACACUCUGCUUCGGGGCCCUCUAACAAAACAUAGCCUGGGGGCCCAAGGGUCCCAAGGGUUGCCCAGCACGUUCCUGACCACCAGCAGAGCAGUGGCAGGCAAAGGACAGUCCUGCUCCCUGAAGACUCUGCCACCUCUGUGAGCUGGGGGAGAAGCGCCCCCCCAGGAAACACCCACAAAUUCUUGGGCCAAGGGGAUGCUUUCUGUGGGGCUCAAGGUCUUGCACCUGCCGGUAGGGCUUCCUGCUACAGAAAGUGAUCUUGCUUCAGCUCUCCAUCACAAUACGGUCACCCUCUAGGUCUGGCUCCCAUCUAGACAUCAGCCCCUUGCGGACGAUGGGGACAGUGUCUCACCUCCCCAGCGCUGGCCAGGCUGGGCGUCGGCCAACGUUACUCCCACUGAUGGGAAUGGGGUCGGCUCCCUCCAGGGGGGAACCUGAGCUGGGCCAGGGUAUGCGGGCCCCCUGGGGCACCCCCAUCCCAUGCCUCCAUCUCUGCACAGAGCUGGACAGCCAGCGGGGCCUGGGUCCCCAGGCUCUGGGCAGCCUCUGCCCUUUGACCUCAGCUUUGUCUACGGCUUCACUCUGGAUGAGGUCAUGACUCAUGUAACUUUGGGGACCUGAAGGCCAUCCCAGCCACACCUCAGCCUGCAGUAAGACUCAUUAGUGAGUGACUCAGAGGGUGGGCCCCUGCACAGGGUNNNNNNNNNNNNNNNGGUCGGGGUGGGUGGGACCCGCUCUGUCUUCAGCCCCCACCCCCUGGGCCCUCCCCACACUUAGAGGAAGUGAGUCCUUCAGAGAGAGAGACUUCUCUCCCCAGCCCUGUGCCCACCCUGGCCCCUGGCCUCAGGGGAGGAACACGGACAGGCACCAGCCAGCACUCAGGACUGCUCAGGGAAAUAGGGGAUAGUAUGAUCCCUGCUUCCUGGGAUCCCUGAUAGCUCAGUUGGUAAAGAAUCCGCCUGCAAUACAGGAGACCCC